rnacentral:tRNA from 1 species
GAGCCCGUAGCUCAAUGGUGAGAGCGUUCGACUUCUGACCAAAAGGUCGCGUGUUCGAUCCUCGGGUGGUUCA